rnacentral:rRNA from 1 species
AUUCCCCUAGUAGCGGCGAGCGAAGCGGGAAGAGCUCAAAUUUAUAAUCUGGCACCUUCGGUGUCCGAGUUGUAAUCUCUAGAAGUGUUUUCCGCGUUGGACCGCACACAAGUCUGUUGGAAUACAGCGGCAUAGUGGUGAGACCCCCGUAUAUGGUGCGGACGCCCAACGCUUUGUGAUACACUUUCGAAGAGUCGAGUUGUUUGGGAAUGCAGCUCAAAUUGGGUGGUAAAUUCCAUCUAAAGCUAAAUAUUGGCGAGAGACCGAUAGCGAACAAGUACCGUGAGGGAAAGAUGAAAAGCACUUUGGAAAGAGAGUUAACAGUACGUGAAAUUGUUGGAAGGGAAACGCUUGAAGUCAGACUUGCUUGCCGAGCAAUCGGUUUGCAGGCCAGCAUCAGUUUUCCGGGGUGGAUAAUGGUAGAGAGAAGGUAGCAGUUUCGGCUGUGUUAUAGCUCUUUGCUGGAUACACCUUGGGGGACUGAGGAACGCAGUGUGCCUUACGGCGGAUUUCUCGAGAUCUUCACACUUAGGAUGCUG